rnacentral:rRNA from 1 species
GAUGAACGCUGGCGGCGUGCCUAAUACUUGCAAGUCGAGCGAACGGACGAGAAGCUUGCUUCUCUGAUGUUAGCGGCGGACGGGUGAGUAACACGUGGAUAACCUACCUAUAAGACUGGGAUAACUUCGGGAAACCGGAGCUAAUACCGGAUAAUAUUUUGAACCGCAUGGUUCAAAAGUGAAAGACGGUCUUGCUUUCACUUAUAAAUGUAUCCGCUCUGUAUUAGCUAGUUGGUAAGGUAACGGCUUACCAAGGCAACGAUGCAUAGCCGACCUGAGAGGGUGACCGGCACAACUGGAACUGAGCAAGGGUCCAGACUCCUACGGGAGGCAGCAGUAGGGAAUCUUCCGCAAUGGGCGAAAGCCUGACGGAGCAACGCGGCGUGAGUGAUGAAGGUCUUCGGAUCGUAAAACUCUGUUAUUAGGGAAGAACAUAUGUGGAAGUAACUGUGCACAUCUUGACGGUACCUAAUCAGAAAGCCACGGCUAACUACGUG